AAAAAAAAAAAAUCAAAAAAUCAACGCAUAAACUCAGGUAAUAUUAUUAACUUAAAAUUUGAAGAUUAUUACGUUAAUUCACUCUUUUACUAAAGCUAAUGUCACAAGUUUGAUUCUGUUGAACGCAAAUUUGCUAUGUUACGCGGGUCAGAAAGGGAAAACAAAUAAUACGCUGGCAUCUUUUUAAUUGGUUAAGUUUCAAAUUGUAACAUUUCGAUUUGUAUAUGCGGACUUUUCCGGAAUAUUGUAUUUUAACAUUCCUGCUAGAAAAAUCCAAGGAGGGGCGAUCCACACAUUACCCUCUCCUUAACUAUACUAGUGUUGAUAGCACACUUUUUAGAAACACCUUAUAUAUUAUUGUGUUCGAAGUAUAUUUCAUUAUCCGUGAUAUAGAUUAAUUAUUAUAAUUUUUUCAUAACGUUUUCAAAACCUAUUGUUGUUAGGUAUUAAAAAUAAUAUGCCUUUUUAAACUUUUUAGUUCAAAUUGAAAAAAAAACGGAGGGGAGAGGGGUAACGUUAAUAAGAUAAUGAAUGGAGGGUAAUGUUUAAUUCUCUGUUAAUAAUUUAGUGAUGUAAAAUUCCAAAUAAUGUAUACUAUUAAUAGUUUUUGAUAUCUUAUAGAUGCGUCAUCGAACAUUUCAUUCGGAUAUUUUUUUCAUGAUUGAAUACUUUUUUCGAAAACUAUUGAGUAUGUCAAAAAACAAUUUGAAUAGUUUUUUUCAGUGGUGGAUUAAUAGAAUUGAUAUUGGGAAUACGGGAGUAUAGAUAUUAUUAAAUUUUACCAUCUCUCUUUGUUUUAAAUACAGACCCCGCUACUGGUCGGCCUGGGUAUAAAAAGGGGGCAUUUAUGGGAUUCGGCGUUUAUGUACUAAUAAAAUAAAAUAUACAUAAAAUAUUCAUUAAAACUCUUUGUAGAACACAAAUUUACGUUGCAAGUUUAUACAGAGGCUUAUUGUUAAGCACUUAAAGUUCGGGCUGGGAUAAACUAAAUCCGUCCUUGACCACCGAUACA